CAUGCAAGUCGAGCGAAUGGAUUAAGAGCUUGCUCUUAUGAAGUUAGCGGCGGACGGGUGAGUAACACGUGGGUAACCUGCCCAUAAGACUGGGAUAACUCCGGGAAACCGGGGCUAAUACCGGAUAACAUUUUGAACCGCAUGGUUCGAAAUUGAAAGGCGGCUUCGGCUGUCACUUAUGGAUGGACCCGCGUCGCAUUAGCUAGUUGGUGAGGUAACGGCUCACCAAGGCAACGAUGCGUAGCCGACCUGAGAGGGUGAUCGGCCACACUGGGACUGAGACACGGCCCAGACUCCUACGGGAGGCAGCAGUAGGGAAUCUUCCGCAAUGGACGAAAGUCUGACGGAGCAACGCCGCGUGAGUGAUGAAGGCUUUCGGGUCGUAAAACUCUGUUGUUAGGGAAGAACAAGUGCUAGUUGAAUAAGCUGGCACCUUGACGGUACCUAACC
rnacentral:rRNA from 1 species